rnacentral:lncRNA from 1 species
UUGGUCCCAGUCAAAGCUCUUUGGAGGGGCUCAUCUUUGCAACCCGGACCCUAGGAAAAAGCCUUUGGAAGUCGUGAUUCUGGAAGCUGUCCAAGGUGAUAGCCAGGAAGCCACAUUGGCCUUGGCCAGUGGUUAGGGAGGAAUCUUCAGUCCCUCCCAGGAUCUGUGACUGUCAUUACUGCUGACAUGAGCUGACUUCAUCGCCCUGCUGGGCCACCAACAGCUCUGCUUCGGACUUACCAAAUCUAGACCCAGCAUGCAGGACCAGUCUCUUCCAGCAGCCCCCAGCAAGGGCGCCAUGGCGGCCACCUACUUUGCUCUGAACAGGACCCCACAGGCACCGAGGCUAGAGCCUGUGCUCUCAUCUAGCUUGGCCCAACGCAGAGGCAUGAAGAGACUCACGUCUACCAGGUUGUAGUGGCCAGCCAAGUCUCCAGCCUCAGUCGCCCUGCCCAACGUCCUCUCAGCCUCACAGACGCCAGACACAGGUCCUGUUCAUGGGCACUUGAGUGCCCAUGAGUCCAGCACAAAGAUGGAUCUGGCCUUGGCUAUCUCUCUGUUUCCUUUGCAGCCCUAGAAAGGGUCCUGCCCAGGAUGUCUGAGCCUUGCUGCGCCGACCUCUCCGCCCGCUCUCUCUCUCCUCCUGAGUGAAACCAAAUGAAUCUGUCACCUCAUAGCACCCUGCUGGGGCCUCCCUGGGCUCACUCAGGGCUCUCAGUGUCUCCAUGUCAUGGCUUAUGCCCAAAGCAGAGCUCUUUUACCAUCCUGAUGUCACCUACGUGUCCCACUGUCUCUCUGAGAGUGUUAGUGCACAGUCCCUGCCUGGAGACAGCAGAGCCACUUUCGAAGAGCUGGAUGUUUCUGGAUGUUCUGGCAAUGCCAGUGGCCCUGUGAAAGCAUCCAGCUUAGAUGCCUGACUCUGUCCACAAUCACCCAAAGAGUGCCUCUCACCACCCUCCUGCUCUCAAGCAAGAUGCUGGGUAGCUUCUCCCUGACUCUGUCACUGACUUGGCAGGAUGAAAGCAACCAACCCAAGAGUCUAGAUGGGUAGAGUCUAUUUGAGAGCGUGAUUUCUGUUGGUUGAGACAGGAGCCCCAGGAAAUUGCCGGGCAGAGCCAGUACCCACUACACUGCUGCCCCCUUAACCCUGUGGCCCCAGGGACACUGGAGAGAGUGGGGCUCUGCCAUUGCUGGGUGUGUUGGCAUCUCUGCUCAUAUUUGCCUGCUGUGGUAUAGCAUAUUCACUCUCUCUCUGCUUUCCUGGGCCACAGAGAAUGUCUUCUCCUCUACCCCUCUAUCCCUUCUUGACUGAGGACAGGAGAGACACCUGAGCCCCUUGCCUUAGACAGGCAGAAGGUGCCUGGACAAGUUGUCAGUGGGAGUGAUGCUCUUCUUAGAAGCUGUGGUCCUAUGUUGCAUCUUGUGUUUCUGUUGUCUAACCUGUUUUCAGGCUGUAGUCUGCGCAGGGAGCAGUAGUUACACGGACCAGGCUAUCUGUGGCAUACUCUUCAUGCAGAGUAACCGAGUGAGACCCUUCCCCCG